GAUGAAGAACGUAGCGAAAUGCGAUACUUGGUGUGAAUUGCAGAAUCCCGUGAACCAUCGAGUCUUUGAACGCAAGUUGCGCCUCAAGCCAUCAGGUUGAGGGCACGUCUGCCUGGGCGUCACAUAUCGUUGCCUGAUGCCAGUUUCCUCGUGAUGGGUGACUGUGCAGGGCGAAUGAUGGCUUCCCGUGAGCAUUGUUGCCUCAUGGUUGGUUGAAAAUUGAGUCCUUGGUAGGGAGCGCCGUGAUAGAUGGUGGUUGAGUGACGAACGAGACCCAAUCAUGUGAGACCCCUACCGAAUUUGGCCUUCAUGACCCACAUGCGUCUUUGGAACGCUCAUGACGAGACCUCAGGUCAGGCGGGGCUACCCGCUGAGUUUAAGCAUAUCAAUAAGCGGAGGA
rnacentral:misc_RNA from 1 species